UGGGGAAUUUUGGACAAUGGGCGAAAGCCUGAUCCAGCAAUGCCGCGUGUGUGAAGAAGGCCUUCGGGUUGUAAAGCACUUUUGUCCGGAAAGAAAUCCUUGGCUCUAAUACAGUCGGGGGAUGACGGUACCGGAAGAAUAAGCACCGGCUAACUGCGUGCCAGCAGCCGCGGUAAUACGUAGGGUGCAAGCGUUAAUCGGAAUUACUGGGCGUAAAGCGUGCGCAGGCGGUUUGCUAAGACCGAUGUGAAAUCCCCGGGCUCAACCUGGGAACUGCAUUGGUGACUGGCAGGCUAGAGUAUGGCAGAGGGGGGUAGAAUUCCACGUGUAGCAGUGAAAUGCGUAGAGAUGUGGAGGAAUACCGAUGGCGAAGGCAGCCCCCUGGGCCAAUACUGACGCUCAUGCACGAAAGCGUGGGGAGCAAACAGGAUUAGAUACCCUGGUAGUCCACGCCCUAAACGAUGUCAACUAGUUGUUGGGGAUUCAUUUCCUAGUAACGUAGCUAACGCGUGAAGUUGACCGCCUGGGGAGUACGGUCGCAAGAUUAAAACUCAAAUGAAUUGACGGGGUCAUAGCUGUUUCCU
rnacentral:rRNA from 1 species